rnacentral:rRNA from 1 species
UACGUAGGGUGCAGGCGUUAAUCGGAAUUACUGGGCGUAAAGCGUGCGCAGGCGGCUCCUUAAGUCAGAUGUGAAAGCCCCGGGCUUAACCUGGGAGCUGCAUUUGUGACUGCACGGCUAGAGUGUGUCAGAGGGGGGUAGAAUUCCACGUGUAGCAGUGAAAUGCGUAGAUAUGUGGAGGAAUACCGAUGGCGAAGGCAGCCCCCUGGGAUAACACUGACGCUCAUGCACGAAAGCGUGGGGAGCAAACAGG